CUUUGGAACAGCGACAGCAUAAGAGGUGGCUUUUCUGGGUUCAAGAGAGAAUGGUAAAGGUACGAGGGCAAAGUGUGAGUUUGCCUGAUGUGCACCACAAGGGCCAUGGAGGAUUUGAAGCACAGGGCUGGCAUGGUAGUGACCUGCGAGUGAGCUGUGUGGAGAUUGUGGAGUUCUGACUCAGUGCAGGCUGAACGUUGCCGGCACAAAUUCAGGAACCAGCUGGUUCAUAUUUUUUUCAAUAAUUCCUGCAGCACCCACAUGAAGAGCAAGUUGAACAUCUGGUACAUAUGUGAGUGGAUGCUUAGAUACAGCCCAUAGACGUCCUUUCGUUGGUGGUUCAGACUCUGAGAGCCCCAAGGCUCCAGGUUAUGGUCCACCAUUCAGGGAACUCAUGUCAGAAACUCAAGGCAGAAGUUGAGGCCAUGAAGAAACACAGCUUUUCUAGGUCCUCCUGACUUGCUUAUAUAACCUGGGACUAUUUGUCCAGCAGUGUCACCACUUACAAAGCACUGAGUCUUCACACAUCAAUCACUAUUUUUUUAAAUCCCCAUAGUCUUGUCUACAGGUCCCAAUCUUAUGAAAGCAUUGUCUUAAUUAGCAUUCAUUUCUGCCUGACAUGUCUAGGAUUAUGUCAAGUUGACAAAAAAUGGGGAAAAAAAACCCUCAGUAAUUUUGCAUUUUUCCUUUACAAGUCUUUGUACAUUUGCCAUGGGGAAGAUUUAGUAAGGUCAUGACUGUAACAAGUGCCUCAUGUAUUUGAAAGUCUUUCUUUUUUGAGUUUGGGAAAUGUUCUUCUACAAUGGAAUUAAAGUCUUGAUUCUCUCUGU
rnacentral:lncRNA from 1 species